UACACUCCUGCGGGAGGCAGCAGUGGGGAAUAUUGGACAAUGGGCGCAAGCCUGAUCCAGCCAUGCCGCGUGAGUGAUGAAGGCCCUAGGGUUGUAAAGCUCUUUCACCGGUGAAGAUAAUGACGGUAACCGGAGAAGAAGCCCCGGCUAACUUCGUGCCAGCAGCCGCGGUAAUACGAAGGGGGCUAGCGUUGUUCGGAUUUACUGGGCGUAAAGCGCACGUAGGCGGACUAUUAAGUCAGGGGUGAAAUCCCGGGGCUCAACCCCGGAACUGCCUUUGAUACUGGUAGUCUUGAGUUCGAGAGAGGUGAGUGGAAUUCCGAGUGUAGAGGUGAAAUUCGUAGAUAUUCGGAGGAACACCAGUGGCGAAGGCGGCUCACUGGCUCGAUACUGACGCUGAGGUGCGAAAGCGUGGGGGGCAAACAGGAUUAGAAACCCCAGUAGUCCC
rnacentral:rRNA from 1 species